CAAACUGGGAUUAGAUACCCCACUAUGCCUAGCCCUAAACACAAAUAGUUUUAUAAACAAAACUAUUCGCCAGAGUACUACCGGCAAUAGCUUAAAACUCAAAGGACUUGGCGGUGCUUUAUACCCUUCUAGAGGAGCCUGUUCUAUAAUCGAUAAACCCCGAUAGACCUUCCCAUUCCUCGCUAAUACAGUCUAUAUACCGCCAUCUUCAGCAAACCCUAAAAAGGAGCAAAAGUAAGCGCAAUCAUAGUACAUAAAAACGUUAGGUCAAGGUGUAACCUAUGGAAUGGAAAGAAAUGGGCUACAUUUUCUAAUCCAAGAACAACUCAAUACGAAAAUUAUUAUGAAAUUAAUAAUUAAAGGAGGAUUUAGCAGUAAACUAAGAAUAGAGUGCUUAGUUGAAUUAGGCCAUGAAGCACGCACACACCGCCCGUCACCCUC
rnacentral:rRNA from 1 species